rnacentral:lncRNA from 1 species
UUUUUUCUUUUGCCUCUCAUGGAAAAAUGCAUGGUGUACUGGAUUUGGGGCCCCCUCAUAUGGCUGUACAGUCUGUGUUCUGAGCAAAGCCAGGGGACAGUUCUCAAGUGGACUGCCUAUGCAAUCUAAUCGACAGUAUGAGGCCCUAUCGCUCCAUGCUACCAAAGUAAUGGACUUUCGCAUUGUAACUAAUGGGAUGGACGUCUCCCUGCCUCUUUCAGUGUUUGUUGCACUUAACACUCCAUCUGUUUGUAUCCUAAGCCACUGUGAACUGUAUUGAGAGUCUCCCAAGUUUGAUUUAUUUUCCUCACCAAAGGAGCAAUUUGCCCCCACAGGUGUCCGUCACUUCCAUCACUUCUCUGGCUCAUUGCUUAGACCACUGCCUAGAGCAGCUGGCCUCAACCUUGGCUCCAUAUUAGAAUCAAGGAACUUUUCAAACAUGCUAAUACCCAGGGCCUUCCCCAGAGAUCCUGGUUUAAUUGGUCUGGGGUAGGGUCACGCUAUAACUAUUUUUUUUUGACUCACCAGGUGACCCUAAUCUGCGGCCAGAGCCUAAAACCACUGCCCUAGAAGGGGAAGGGUGAAGGCUUAAGGCUAGAGAAGUGGGAUAGGAGCCAGGAUCCAUCCGUACAGACCUCCAGAAUGGCUGCUGGUGGUCCUCCUGGCUUAGCUGUUCCCCCACAAAGCUCAUAUGUUGAACCCCUGCUACUUCAGAAUGUGACUGAAUUGGGAAACAGGGCCUCUAAAGAGGUGCUGAGGUAAAAUGAAGUCAUGUGGAUGGGCUCUAAUCCAAUAUGACUGCUAUCCCUAUGAGACAAGGAGAAUAGGUCACAGACAAACAUGAAGGGAAGACACAGGGAGGAGAAGACAGCCAUACAAGCCAAGGAGAGAGACCUCUGAAGAAACCAACCCUGCUGACAUCUUGUUCU